GACGAACGCUGGCGGCGUGCUUAACACAUGCAAGUCGAACGGAAAGGCCCUGCUUUUGUGGGGUGCUCGAGUGGCGAACGGGUGAGUAACACGUGAGUAACCUGCCCUUGACUUUGGGAUAACUUCAGGAAACUGGGGCUAAUACCGGAUAGGAGCUCCUGCUGCAUGGUGGGGGUUGGAAAGUUUCGGCGGUUGGGGAUGGACUCGCGGCUUAUCAGCUUGUUGGUGGGGUAGUGGCUUACCAAGGCUUUGACGGGUAGCCGGCCUGAGAGGGUGACCGGCCAAAUUGGGACUGAGAUACGGCGCAGACUCCAACGGGAGGCAGCAGUGGGGAAUAUUGCACAAUGGGCGGAAGCCUGAGGCAGCAACGCCGCGGGCGGGAUGACGGCCUGCGGGUUGUAAACCGCUUUCGCCUGUGACGAAGCGUGAGUGACGGUAAUGGGUAAAGAAGCACCGGCUAACUACGUG
rnacentral:rRNA from 1 species